UUUUAUUUGAGAGUUUGAUCAUGGCUCAGGAUGAACGCUGGCGGCGUGCCUAACACAUGCAAGUUGAGCGAUUUACUUCGGUAAAGAGCGGCGGACGGGUGAGUAACGCGUGGGUAACCUACCCUGUACACACGGAUAACAUACCGAAAGGUAUGCUAAUACGGGAUAAUAUAUUUGAGAGGCAUCUCUUAAAUAUCAAAGGUGAGCCAGUACAGGAUGGACCCGCGUCUGAUUAGCUAGUUGGUAAGGUAACGGCUUACCAAGGCGACGAUCAGUAGCCGACCUGAGAGGGUGAUCGGCCACAUUGGAACUGAGACACGGUCCAAACUCCUACGGGAGGCAGCAGGGGGGAAUAUUGCACAAUGGGCGAAAGCCUGAUGCAGCAACGCCGCGUGAGUGAUGAAGGCCUUCGGGUCGUAAAACUCUGUCCUCAAGGAAGAUAAUGACGGUACUUGAGGAGGAAGCCCCGGCUAACUACGUGCCAGCAGCCGCGGUAAUACGUAGGGGGCUAGCGUUAUCCGGAUUUACUGGGCGUAAAGGGUGCGUAGGCGGUCUUUCAAGUCAGGAGUGAAAGGCUACGGCUCAACCGUAGUAAGCUCUUGAAACUGGGAGACUUGAGUGCAGGAGAGGAGAGUGGAAUUCCUAGUGUAGCGGUGAAAUGCGUAGAUAUUAGGAGGAACACCAGUUGCGAAGGCGGCUCUCUGGACUGUAACUGACGCUGAGGCACGAAAGCGUGGGGAGCAAACAGGAUUAGAUACCCUGGUAGUCCACGCUGUUAUCGAUGAGUACUAGGUGUCGGGGGUUACCCCC
rnacentral:rRNA from 1 species